GAUGAACGCUGGCGGCGUGCCUAAUACAUGCAAGUCGAGCGAACGGACGAGAAGCUUGCUUUUCUGAUGUUAGCGGCGGACGGGUGAGUAACACGUGGAUAACCUACCUAUAAGACUGGGAUAACUUCGGGAAACCGGAGCUAAUACCGGAUAAUAUUUUGAACCGCAUGGUUCAAAAGUGAAAGACGGUCUUGCUGUCACUUAUAGAUGGAUCCGCGCUGCAUUAGCUAGUUGGUAAGGUAACGGCUUACCAAGGCAACGAUGCAUAGCCGACCUGAGAGGGUGAUCGGCCACACUGGAACUGAGACACGGUCCAGACUCCUACGGGAGGCAGCAGUAGGGAAUCUUCCGCAAUGGGCGAAAGCCUGACGGAGCAACGCCGCGUGAGUGAUGAAGGUCUUCGGAUCGUAAAACUCUGUUAUUAGGGAAGAACAUAUGUGUAAGUAACUGUGCACAUCUUGACGGUACCUAAUCAGAAAGCCACGGCUAACUACGUGCCAGCAGCCGCGGUAAUACGUAGGUGGCAAGCGUUAUCCGGAAUUAUUGGGCGUAAAGCGCGCGUAGGCGGUUUUUUAAGUCUGAUGUGAAAGCCCACGGCUCAACCGUGGAGGGUCAUUGGAAACUGGAAAACUUGAGUGCAGAAGAGGAAAGUGGAAUUCCAUGUGUAGCGGUGAAAUGCGCAGAGAUAUGGAGGAACACCAGUGGCGAAGGCGACUUUCUGGUCUGUAACUGACGCUGAUGUGCGAAAGCGUGGGGAUCAAACAGGAUUAGAUACCCUGGUAGUCCACGCCGUAAACGAUGAGUGCUAAGUGUUAGGGGGUUUCCGCCCCUUAGUGCUGCAGCUAACGCAUUGAGCACUCCGCCUGGGGAGUACGACCGCAAGGUUGAAACUCAAAGGAAUUGACGGGGACCCGCACAAGCGGUGGAGCAUGUGGUUUAAUUCGAAGCAACGCGAAGAACCUUACCAAAUCCUGACAUCCUUUGACAACUCUAGAGAUAGAGCCUUCCCCUUCGGGGGACAAAGUGACAGGUGGUGCAUGGUUGUCGUCAGCUCGUGUCGUGAGAUGUUGGGUUAAGUCCCGCAACGAGCGCAACCCUUAAGCUUAGUUGCCAUCAUUAAGUUGGGCACUCUAAGUUGACUGCCGGUGACAAACCGGAGGAAGGUGGGGAUGACGUCAAAUCAUCAUGCCCCUUAUGAUUUGGGCUACACACGUGCUACAAUGGACAAUACAAAGGGCAGCGAAACCGCGAGGUCAAGCAAAUCCCAUAAAGUUGUUCUCAGUUCGGAUUGUAGUCUGCAACUCGACUACAUGAAGCUGGAAUCGCUAGUAAUCGUAGAUCAGCAUGCUACGGUGAAUACGUUCCCGGGUCU
rnacentral:rRNA from 1 species